rnacentral:tRNA from 1 species
GUUUUAUAUUCAAUGAUGAUUUUAGACUGCAAUUCUAAAGGUGUAAAUUUUACUAAGACCU